rnacentral:rRNA from 1 species
UUAAGCGACUAAGCGUACACGGUGGAUGCCCUGGCAGUCAGAGGCGAUGAAGGACGUGCUAAUCUGCGAAAAGCGUCGGUAAGGUGAUAUGAACCGUUAUAGCCGGCGAUGUCCGAAUGGGGAAACCCAGUGUGAUUCGUCACACUAUCGUUAACUGAAUACAUAGGUUAACGAGGCGAACCGGGGGAACUGAAACAUCUAAGUACCCCGAGGAAAAGAAAUCAACCGAGAUUCCCCCAGUAGCGGCGAGCGAACGGGGAGCAGCCCAGAGUCUGAAUCAGCUUGUGUGUUAGUGGAACGGUCUGGAAAGUCCGACGGUACAGGGUGAUAGUCCCGUACACCAAAAUGCACAGGUUGUGAACUCGAAGAGUAGGGCGGGACACGUGGUAUCCUGUCUGAAUAUGGGGGGACCAUCCUCCAAGGCUAAAUACUCCUGACUGACCGAUAGUGAACCAGUACCGUGAGGGAAAGGCGAAAAGAACCCCGGCGAGGGGAGUGAAAAAGAACCUGAAACCGUGUACGUACAAGCAGUGGGAGCACCUUCGGGUGUGACUGCGUACCUUUUGUAUAAUGGGUCAGCGACUUAUAUUCUGUAGCAAGGUUAACCGUAUAGGGGAGCCGCAGGGAAACCGAGUCUUAACUGGGCGUUAAGUUGCAGGGUAUAGACCCGAAACCCGGUGAUCUAGCCAUGGGCAGGUUGAAGGUUGGGUAACACUAACUGGAGGACCGAACCGACUAAUGUUGAAAAAUUAGCGGAUGACUUGUGGCUGGGGGUGAAAGGCCAAUCAAACCGGGAGAUAGCUGGUUCUCCCCGAAAGCUAUUUAGGUAGCGCCUCGUGAACUCAUCUUCGGGGGUAGAGCACUGUUUCGGCUAGGGGGUCAUCCCGACUUACCAACCCGAUGCAAACUACGAAUACCGAAGAAUGUUAUCACGGGAGACACACGGCGGGUGCUAACGUCCGUCGUGAAGAGGGAAACAACCCAGACCGCCAGCUAAGGUCCCAAAGUCAUGGUUAAGUGGGAAACGAUGUGGGAAGGCACAGACAGCCAGGAUGUUGGCUUAGAAGCAGCCAUCAUUUAAAGAAAGCGUAAUAGCUCACUGGUCGAGUCGGCCUGCGCGGAAGAUGUAACGGGGCUAAACCAUGCACCGAAGCUGCGGCAGCGACACUAUGUGUUGUUGGGUAGGGGAGCGUUCUGUAAGCCUGCGAAGGUGACCUGUGAGGGUUGCUGGAGGUAUCAGAAGUGCGAAUGCUGACAUAAGUAACGAUAAAGCGGGUGAAAAGCCCGCUCGCCGGAAGACCAAGGGUUCCUGUCCAACGUUAAUCGGGGCAGGGUGAGUCGACCCCUAAGGCGAGGCCGAAAGGCGUAGUCGAUGGGAAACAGGUUAAUAUUCCUGUACUUGGUGUUACUGCGAAGGGGGGACGGAGAAGGCUAUGUUAGCCGGGCGACGGUUGUCCCGGUUUAAGCAUGUAGGCUGAUUGUCCAGGCAAAUCCGGAUAAUCAAGGCUGAGGUGUGAUGACGAGGCACUACGGUGCUGAAGUAACAAAUGCCCUGCUUCCAGGAAAAGCCUCUAAGCAUCAGGUAACAUUAAAUCGUACCCCAAACCGACACAGGUGGUCAGGUAGAGAAUACCAAGGCGCUUGAGAGAACUCGGGUGAAGGAACUAGGCAAAAUGGUGCCGUAACUUCGGGAGAAGGCACGCUGGUGUGUAGGUGAAGUCCCUGCGGAUGGAGCUGAGACCAGUCGAAGAUACCAGCUGGCUGCAACUGUUUAUUAAAAACACAGCACUGUGCAAACACGAAAGUGGACGUAUACGGUGUGACGCCUGCCCGGUGCCGGAAGGUUAAUUGAUGGGGUUAUCCGUAAGGAGAAGCUCUUGAUCGAAGCCCCGGUAAACGGCGGCCGUAACUAUAACGGUCCUAAGGUAGCGAAAUUCCUUGUCGGGUAAGUUCCGACCUGCACGAAUGGCGUAAUGAUGGCCAGGCUGUCUCCACCCGAGACUCAGUGAAAUUGAACUCGCUGUGAAGAUGCAGUGUACCCGCGGCAAGACGGAAAGACCCCGUGAACCUUUACUAUAGCUUGACACUGAACAUUGAGCCUUGAUGUGUAGGAUAGGUGGGAGGCUUUGAAGCGUGGACGCCAGUCUGCGUGGAGCCAACCUUGAAAUACCACCCUUUAAUGUUUGAUGUUCUAACGUUGGCCCCUGACCGGGGUUGCGGACAGUGUCUGGUGGGUAGUUUGACUGGGGCGGUCUCCUCCCAAAGCGUAACGGAGGAGCACGAAGGUUAGCUAAUCCUGGUCGGACAUCAGGAGGUUAGUGCAAUGGCAUAAGCUAGCUUGACUGCGAGCGUGACGGCGCGAGCAGGUGCGAAAGCAGGUCAUAGUGAUCCGGUGGUUCUGAAUGGAAGGGCCAUCGCUCAACGGAUAAAAGGUACUCCGGGGAUAACAGGCUGAUACCGCCCAAGAGUUCAUAUCGACGGCGGUGUUUGGCACCUCGAUGUCGGCUCAUCACAUCCUGGGGCUGAAGUAGGUCCCAAGGGUAUGGCUGUUCGCCAUUUAAAGUGGUACGCGAGCUGGGUUUAGAACGUCGUGAGACAGUUCGGUCCCUAUCUGCCGUGGGCGCUGGAGAAUUGAGGGGGGCUGCUCCUAGUACGAGAGGACCGGAGUGGACGCAUCACUGGUGUUCGGGUUGUCAUGCCAAUGGCACUGCCCGGUAGCUAAAUGCGGAAGAGAUAAGUGCUGAAAGCAUCUAAGCACGAAACUUGCCCCGAGAUGAGUUCUCCCUGAGACUUUAAGUCUCCUGAAGGAACGUUGAAGACGACGACGUUGAUAGGCCGGGUGUGUAAGCGCAGCGAUGCGUUGAGCUAACCGGUACUAAUGAACCGUGAGGCUUAACCUU